CGGCCGCGGUAUUUUAACCGUGCGAAGGUAGCGUAAUCACUUGUCUUUUAAAUAAAGACUUGUAUGAAUGGCAUCACGAGGAUUAAACUGUCUCCCCCCUCUAAUCAGUGAAACUGAUCUCCCCGUGCAGAAGCGGGGAUAAUAUCAUAAGACGAGAAGACCCUGUGGAGCUUUAAAUCAAAAGUCAACUACUUUUCACUUCAUAUUUAACAUAUUCUAUAGACCUGACCAAGAUUUUUAGCUGGGGCGCCUGCGGAGAAAAAUUUAUCCUCCGCGAAGAAUUAAAGCUACGAACUACAAUUCAAAGUAUUAAUAAACUUAACUUCUAUUGACCCAAUCUUAUUGAUCAACGGACCAAGUUACCCCAGGGAUAACAGCGCAAUCCACUUCUAGAGUCCCUAUCGACAAGUGGGCUUACGACCUCGAUGUUGGAUCAGGGCAUCCGAGUGGUGCAGCCACUACUAAAGGUUCGUUUGUUCAACGAUUAAAGCCCU
rnacentral:rRNA from 1 species